UAGCAACCUUUCGGUUACUGGCCCAACACUCUAACCACUAGGCUACCUGCCGCUUGAAUGCACUGAGAACAGUGCUAUGUUUUUCAACCGCAAUAUCAACAACUGUUCAAUAUCUUCUUAUUUUUUACAAAGGACACACUAGGUAGACCACCAGCUCAGGAGAUUCCCCUGGUGGAGCACUGUCAAUACAAGUACCUGUUCAACUUCCGGGGCGUGGCGGCCAGCUUCCGCCUCAGGCACCUGUUCCUGUGUGGCUCUCUGGUCUUCCAUGUAGGGAGGGAGUGGAUGGAGUUCUUCUAUCCCCAGCUGCUACCCUGGGUACACUACAUCCCUGUCAAACAGGACCUCUCUGACCUCAGGUGACCCGCCUGGCUUGGCUGUGUGUCAUAACUGUAUAGACUAUAUGGAGAUCCAGUCAAUAGAUAGCUGCAGAUUGAUAUUUGUUCACACUGCUUAUUAAUGUCCCUAAUGCUGGUCUUAGAAUGAAGAAUUGCUGGUCUUCACAUUUAGGCUGUGGUCUCCCCAUAGAUUCUCCAUAUGGUUAGAUGUAAUGGAGUACCUUUUUUAAAAGUAUUGUGUUAUAGAAGAUUUAGGAGUUGAAAAAACGCUAUGAGAAGAAAGUGGCUAUUUGGGAUUGAAAUGACCAUUGGGAUUAGCACACAGAAAGAGUAGGAUACUGUAUAUGUUGGUUCUAUCACACGGUUUACCGUUUGUAUUUAGCAGACCUGGGUUCAAAUACUGUUUAGGGUAUUAUCAUUACUUUCAAAUAUAGUAGUUGAAUAUUGGAGUGUAUUUGGAAAUACACUUGGAAAGUAUUUGAAGAUACUCAAAUAUACUCCCAUGCAUUUAGUCCAGGUAUUAGACUUUUGUUGUUGUUGUUGAAAUUAGUAUUUGAAAGGGGGAUACCUAUUCAGUUGUACAACUGAAAUGUGUCUUCUGCAUUUAACCCAACCCCUCUGAAAAUACAGUACUUUCAAAUAGUAGGCUGUUUAUAGGAAGUUAUUUGAAAAUACUUUCAAAUAAUUCCAAUAGAAGUAGUUGAUUCGGGCCACAUUAUUUGAAAAUACUUAUUUUCUCUGUAUUUAAGUAUUUAAAUAACAAAUGAUCAAAUACACAUUUAUUUUAAUCCAGGUCUGGUAUUUAGUCUUUCCAUGCUCAAAAUAUCAGUGACUUUAUGCCUUGAAAGGAACUUAGACUCGAGGAUUUAGGAAGAGCUUGAUAGCGUUUGCCAUCAACUGAUUUCUGCUAUCUCACCCCACACUGAAAUUCUGUGAAAAAUCAAUGAAAUUUGUUGUUUCUGGGAAAUGACACCUAAAAGGCUAUUUUCCAUCAGCUUUCCCUUACUGCCCUCUAGUGUGUGACCGAAGCCCUGUAUGCUGCUCAGGAGUUGAUACUUACACCUUCCAUUUGAUUUCCAGUGGUCCAUUCAACUACAAACACAACCAAAACACUCCUCACCUCUGUUUAAGAAGAACAAUGCACAACCAUUGCUAUAUACCGUAGAGAUACGAUGAAGCUUGAAACACUACAUAUUAAGCAGUAAAUAACUACACUCAACACCAAGUGCCAAUAGAACGCGACUCAUUAAUGUAGAAUGACAUGUCAAACCCACUGUCGCUACACUACUUUACUUGGACCUGCCUUGGAAAAGAUUAUAAGCCACAAUGGUCCCGAAAUGUUGAAUAUGUUCUAGUAUUCCCAUUGUAGAAUGUAUGUGUUAUAGUUCUCUGAUUCUACAGCUGUGGCAUACAUGUAUGUAAGGUACUUUGUGCUGUGUAUUGCCUUGACCAAAAGUAAGAGGUACAAUGCCAAAAAACUAUGUUCAGCUUGUGGUCAAAACAUAUGACGUGAUCUUCACCUGCAAAAUCAGUGGAAUGGUUUUGGCUUGUCUGUUGGCCUUUAAUUAACAGUAAUUGAUGCUAUUUUUGGCAUGAAACACAAUGACAAUGUUGUGAUAUGAUGCAAUAUUAUUUUAUGUCGAAUGUAUAAUUUUUACCUCUAAUAAACCAUUCAAAUCUCAA